rnacentral:rRNA from 1 species
GUACACGCUGUGACUAGCAUAUCAAUAAGCGGAGGAAAAGAAACUAACAAGGAUUCCCCUAGUAACGGCGAGUGAAGCGGGAAGAGCUCAAAUUUGAAAUCUUAAAGGGUUUCCCUUUACGAAUUGUAGUUUAAAGAAGUGUUUUCUGUUGAGGUUUUGGUAAAAGUUCUUUGGAAUAGGACAUCAUAGAGGGUGAGAAUCCCGUAUUUGACCUUUACUUUCAACUUUGUGAUACACUUUCAAAGAGUCGGAUUGUUUGGGAAUGCAGUCCAAAAUGGGUGGUAAAUUUCAUCUAAAGCUAAAUAUUGGCGAGAGACCGAUAGCGAACAAGUACCGUGAGGGAAAGAUGAAAAGAACUUUGAAAAGAGAGUUAAACAGUACGUGAAAUUGUCAAAAGGGAAGCGUUUGACACCAGUGUUGUUUUUCUGAAAAUCAAUUAAAGAACUGUUUAUGCUAAGCUGUUUAGACUUUAUCAGCUAUCUGUUUAGUUUUAGGCCUUUUCUUUAAUGCACUUUUCAGUUAACAAGUCAACAUCAAUUUCUUUUGCUGUAAAAAAGCUUGAGGAAGGUGGCUUGAGAUUCGUCUUAAGUGUUUAUAGCCUCUUGCCUAUGCAGUCGGAGAGAUUGAGGUCUGCAGCGUAGAUCCUUCGGGGCUAAAUGCAUUUGUGCUAAGUUAUAGCAUUUUAUAGACAACUUGUUGACUAUGAUUUGUCUUGUAGCUUACUCGCUUAUGUUAUUUUACCUACGCUUAGGAUGUUGAGUCGUAGAGCACGCAG